rnacentral:sRNA from 1 species
UAGCCCCUUCCCCGUCCCUUCCCCGCCCCCGUCCCCGCCCCAGGGGCCGCCGCCACCCGCCUCCCACCAUGGCUCUGAAGAGAAUCCACAAGGAAUUGAAUGAUCUGGCACGGGACCCUCCAGCACAGUGUUCAGCAGGUCCUGUUGGAGAUGAUAUGUUCCAUUGGCAAGCUACAAUAAUGGGGCCAGUAAGUAUUCAGAUUAAUUUCAAAAUAAACAGUUUAUGUAAUUUACUCAUUUUAAUCCCACUUUUCUU